UACGGGGGGGGCAAGCGUUGUUCGGAAUUACUGGGCGUAAAGGGCUCGUAGGUGGCCAACUAAGUCAGACGUGAAAUCCCUCGGCUUAACCGGGGAACUGCGUCUGAUACUGGAUGGCUAGAGUUUGGGAGAGGGAUGCGGAAUUCCAGGUGUAGCGGUGAAAUGCGUAGAUAUCUGGAGGAACACCGGUGGCGAAGGCAGCUUGCUACACAAUUAUUGACACUGAGGCUCGAAAGCGUGGGGAGCAAACAGG
rnacentral:rRNA from 1 species